UGGGGCUGUAGCUCAGUGGUAGAGCACUUGCCUUGCAUGCAGGAGACCUGGGUUUGAUCCCCAGCACCACAU